CGCCCCCAGCCCCUUCUCUUGACAGGCCCGCUUCGGCUGCGUUCCUCAUUGGGCACCCUAAAGAAUACCCCGCCCCUGGCCUUGUGCGAUUGGGAGAGGACACCACAGCUCCGCCCCGCAAAGUCCGCUCCUCUCGGUGGUUGGUCACGCUUGACAAGGCCCGGGCUCCACCCCCCUCUUUCCAAUUGGUGACAGGAUUCGCAACUCCGCCUCGUGCUUUUUCCCUGUUUUCCAUUGGUUCUAUACCGACAACCGGGCCCCCUUUUGCUUUGUUAGUAUUGGCCAAGAGCUGUAGAAGGCUAGCCACUUCACCUGCCUCCCAUUGGUGGAGCCUUCGGACACCUCCCAGCUACGAUGAUGUCACCUUUCUCCAGGUCCGGUGAGCCCUGAGUGGCUGGUGGCCAGCGGCCUCGCUACUCCUCCUCAGGUCUGGCAUUGGCUGGAAAUGGCUGGCCCCGGCGCUGGGUGGUGCUGAUUCACCGGCCGCGGCGGAGUUAGGCUCCGCCCGACCCCUCCCGGUCCUGCCUCUGACCUGUUGCGAGUCCUGUCUCUGGGGAAAACUUCGAGGACCUGCCAAGUGUCCCUCGAAUGGAAGGCUGGCACCUCGCGUCACCUGGGAGCUCAUCCCCGCUCGGGUUCGGGACCGGAGCCUUUGGUCUGGUGGCUGUGACCCCGGAGGCCCCCGGCUUUUCCAGAAUCUGGCAGCCGUGAACCCCCAGCGCAUCCUCAAGGGAGGGAGAGCUUCAUCAGCAACUCAGCAAGUGGCCGGAAGCGCUGGAAUCCGGCUGCGGUACACGGAAUUGAGUUUCUCUCCGAAGGCGCUUACCUCCCCCGCCCUGCCCCGGGAGAGUGGUGGCAGAAUUACUCUUAUCACGCAAGUGGGUCUUAAGAGCUCAGAAAUUAAAGUUGAAGCUGAGUAAGCUGAACCCCAAGAUUCUUUGGCCUAAAUCUCUUUUAAGGUUUUCCCUUCCCUUUUAAUUCUAGAUAAAAACAGGAAGGCUGCAGGAAGGUGUGUUUGUGUGAGGAGUGGUACCAAUAUAAAUGCUUACUAUAAUAUUAUGUAUAAAAACCAAAAGUUUAGGAUUGUUCCAUAAACCUCAUCAAGAUUUUUGAAAUGAAAGCUCUCUGGAGACUCAAGUAAUGUACAUUGUUUCACAUAAUGACAUUUCCUUUAAGUUGGGAGUCCUCAAGGUUGAAAUGAGUAAAGCAUGAUUUUUUUUUAAUAAAAUGUAUUUUUUGUUGCCAAUAUGUGAUAGUAAUAGCUUACUGUAUUACAUAUGUUAUUUCUAAUUCUCAAUAUAAUCCCAAGAGGUAGGUUGUAUUAAUUACCUACAUUUUGCACAUGAAGAGACAGACCCAGCUAGGCUAAAUGAUUUUCCUCAUCCUCCAUUCAGCUGCAGAGAUGGGAGCUGAACCUAGGUUUGUCGUACCCACAGCCCUGGCUACUAAUCCCCAGGUGUUAGUUGUACUAAAGACAUGCAGAAAAAGAUUUCCAGAUUGAGUCACAAAACACUGAUACUCAAGCUCUGGGUAAAGAGAAAGACAAAUGUGUAAAUACAAUUGUGGUGGGAAAUUUUUAAAGUGUUUUUUUUUUAAUGGUUCAUAAAUCCAUUAAAAUUGAACAAAUUAAUUAGGAUAAACAUGUAAUAAACCAAGACUGACAUGUAGGAAACACAUUUUCUAGGUUUAAUGGUUAAUUAGAAAAAAUUAUGAAAACAGUAAUUAAAUAACACAUACUGAAAGUAAGCUUUUCAAGAAGGUAUAAAGUUGAAAAUGAGAAUGGGGACAUAAUAGUUUCGCAGAGUAUUUUGAAGUGCAUGUUAUUUGUAAAAUAAAUUUGAAAAAAAUCAACAAAAUGCAAUCCUAUUAAAGUAUCCAGCCUGAUAUACUAGAAAUA